GCACCGGUAGUCUAGCCUGGUAGGACGCGAGCUUGCCAAGCUUGUAGCGCGGGUUCAAAUCCCGCCCGG
rfam:Candidatus Micrarchaeota archaeon RBG_16_49_10 RBG_16_scaffold_4844, whole genome shotgun sequence.